UCCCUCAAGGCCUUAAAAUACACACCACAGCACGUCAGCCGUGACUAUCUCUGGGUGGUGAGAGUGCUGGUGAGUUUUAUUUUCUUCUUUUGGCAAAAUUGCAUUUUCUAAAUUAUCUUCAAUGAAUAUGCAUUAGUCUCGUAAUCAAAUAAGUUUCAGCUUUUCCAAGAAGUCCAUGGGCUCUGGGAGUUGGAGAACCCUUCUGGGUUGGCAUUUCAUGAUCUGAUGUGAAGUUUCAGGAAGGUGAACCUCAGCAUAGGGGCCAGGGGCAAGGUCUGGCUCAGCUGGUUACUGGAUACCCACCCUUGGACUUUGCCCCUGGGAGCCUGGUUCCUUGUUGGUAACAUGGAGAUGAUAUCUCUUGGGUUGUGUCACCGUAGUUUUUCUGGGUGCCUGACCAGGUGUCAGGCACUAUGGAGCUAAGCAUUUUAUCCACAUCUGCUCAUUUCAACUCCCCACAAGCCCAUGAGAUUGGCCACUGAACCCAAGAGGGAGAAGCAGCUUGCCCAAGGUCAUGCACAUGGUAGGUGGCAAAACUGAGACUCAAACCAAAAGACAUUUGACUCCCAAAAGCCUGCCAUAAAAAACAGACCUAAACGAUGGUAGUGUUUGCUAUUCCUGCCCAUGGAGGGGGCGCUUUGCAAAGACUGCCCUCGUAAGACAGUUGAAGAAUCUCGCGUGCAGCUGGCAUCCUUCAGCUCCCAGGGCACAAAGAGCUGUGUCUUAUCUGUUCAGCAUCUGAACUGACUCAAGGAAGCUGCCUGGCUUAAGUCCUCCCAGGCAGGGGAGAAAGACCCUGGUCAGCUGGAAAAGAGGAAAGAAGUAAACCUGGGGGCCCGAGGAGGCCGGCAGAGCUCCUCUGUCUUCUCUCUGACUCAUCUUGCAAAGAAAACGUCCCUGGUGUUAGCCCUGUCCUCAUCCGGCUGUAGGCUGAGCUCAGGUGAACACUCUGAAGUAACUGGCACUCCACCAAAUGCUGCCCGUCAGCUCUCGGAUGCGACCCCAUGGAGCUACUGCAGAUCAAUACCUGCUCAACUCUUAGUCAUCCUUCAGUUCCCAUCAGAGAAACCACUGCCUGCAGAAACGUCAGGUGCCCUUUCCACAGGCUCCCAUAGCACCCUGCUCUUUCCCAGUCAAGAGUAAAUUAUAAUUCUUGAUUUGCUGCAGAACACACACACACACAUGGGGUAAGCACCUUAUGGGAAGGGACCUUGACCAACUUGUUCACUGCUUCCUCAGCACAGUGCUUGGCACAUCAGAGCCAUCCGCUAAUUGUUUGCUAAAUGAAAUUACUUUUCCAAAUAUUUAUUAUUUCUAGUUUGCACUUUUAAACUUUUUGUUGAUGCAUAAUGCACAUAUAGAAAAGUGUGGAAGUCCUAAGUGUACAGCUUACUGAAUGAUCACAAAGCAAGCUUACCUGUGCAACCCCAACCCGGGUCAAAACUGGAACAUCAAAGGAUCCCAAAAGACUUGCUGGGCCUGCUAGCAAUCAUUCUUUCCUGCCCCCUCUUCCAAAGGUAAUCACAUUAUUGACUUCUAAGACAACAAUUGUUUUCCCAGUUUUAAAACUUUAUAUUAAUAACUUCAAAUUUAUAUGUUUACAUAUUAACAUUAUAUGAACGCAAUAGGACUCUUUCACGUCUGGUUUGUUCGCUUAACAUUGUUUCUGAGAUUUACUUAUAUUGUUGCAGUAGUUGUAAGUUGUUCUUUUUUUGACUGUACAAUAUUUCACUGUGGGAAUGUACUAUGAUUUUUAAUCCAUUAUACUAUUGCUGGCCAUUUGGAUACAUUCUAGUUUGAGGAUAUUUAUGUCUUUGGUGUGCAGAUAUACACAAUUCUGUUGACUACAUACUAGGAAAGGAAACAAUGGGCCAGAAAACAUGUGUAUGUUUAUCUUUAGCAGAUACUUUAGCCAGUUUUCAAAAGUGGUUGUUUAGACUCCCAACGGCAGUGGGUGAGAGUUCCAGCUGUUUUACAUCGUUAGUAUUGUUGGUCCUUUUAAUUUCAGCCAUUCUGGUGGAUCUGUAGUAGCAUCUCAUUGCAAAUUUCAUUUGCAUUUCCCUGACAAACAUUGAGGCUGAGCACUAGUUCAUUGAAUAUCUUCUUUCGUGAAGUUUAUUUAUAUUUUUUUCCUAUUCCUUUUCUUAUUGCUUUGUAAAAAUUCAUGACAUAUUGUGAAUAUGACCCUUUUUUCAGUAAUUUGUAUUGCAAACACCUCACUCAUUCUGAUUGUCAUUUUCUUAACGUGACUUGAUGAACAAAAGUUCUUAAUUUUAAUGUAAUCCAAUGUAUAGGUCUUUCAUUUAUGGUAAGUGCUAUUCGUGCCUUACUUAAGAAAUCUUUUCUUGCCCCAAAGUCGUAAAGAUAUUCUCCUAUCCUCCAGUGGCUUUAUUGUUUUACCUUUCAUAUUUAGAUUUAAAAUCCACCUGGGGCUGGGCGCAGUGGUUCAUGCGUGUAAUCCCAGCACUUUGGGAGGCCAAAGCGGGCGGAUCACAAGGUCCAGAGAUCGAGACAACCUGGACAACAUGGUAAAACCCUGUCUCUACUAAAAAUACAAAAGUUAGCUGGGCGUGGUGGCAGGCACUGGUAGUCCCAGCUACUCGGGAGGCUGAGGCAGGAGAAUCGCUAGAACCCGGGAGGCGGAGUUUGCAGUGAGCUGAGAUCAUGCCACUGCACUACAGCCUGGCAACAGAGUAAGACUGUCUCAAAAAAAAAGAAAAAGAAAAAAAAUCCACCUGGAACUGAUUAUUCUCACGUAGGAGUCAAGUUUCACCACUUUUCCUUAUGGAUAGCUGAUUGACCCAGCUAUAUCUGUUGAAAGGACCACUCUUUCCCCAUUACUCAGAAAGGCCACCUUUGUCAUAAAUCAUGUUACUUUAUAUUUGUGGGUCUGUUUCUAGAAACUGCUAUUCUUUUUUGCUGGUCUGCUUGUGUAUCCUUGCACAAAUAUUACACUCUCCUCGUUAUUGUCAUCUGUUACUAAGUCUUUCCUCCAACUUUGUCCUUUCUGUGGUUGUCUUGGUUGUCCCUGGACUUUUACAUUUUUGUAUAAAUUUAAGAAUCAGUUUAUCAAUUUCCAAACACAAAAAAGAAACCUGUUGAGAUUGUGAGGAUUGCACCGUACCUGUAGAUUUCGUGAGAACUGAUAGCUUUACAAUAUCGAACCUUCCAAUUCAUGAAUAUAGUAUCUCUCUGCAUUUAUUUAUGUCUUUUAACAUUUCUCUCCCUAAUAUUUUAGAGUUUUCUGCAGAGACUCUUACAUAUCUUUCAGUGGAUUCAUUCCUAGCUAUUUGAUUUUUGAUACUAUUGUAAAUAGCAUUGCUUUUAAAACCUCAUUCUAUAAUUGUUUCCCUUUGUUAUAUAGAAAUGAGAUCAACUUUUUUAAUGUUAAACUUGUAUCUAGGGACUUUGAUAAAAUUAAUUUAUUAUUCCCAUAAUUUAUUGGCAGAUUCUUCCAGAUGUUCUAAUUACUCAAAUAUGUCAUCUGUUGAUCAUUUUAUUUCUUCCUUUCUAACCUUUAUACAUUUUUUGUCUGUUUUAUUGCACUGACUAGGACCUUCAGUACAACGUUUUGUACCAGUCAUAUUUAGCAGGCAUCCAUUCUUUCAACAUUUUACCAAGGUUUUUACAAAUAUACCCUUUUAGACUAAGAAAGUUCCCCUCUACUCCUGGUUUGCUAAGAACGUUCCCCUUCUACUCCUAGUUUGCUAAGAAUUUUUAUACUAACGAAUGUUGGAAUUUAUCAAAAGCUUGUUCUGUUUAUAUUGAGAUAAUCAAAUAAUUUUAUGCCUUUAUUAUAUUAAUAUGGGAAAUUGCAUUGAUGAAUUUUAAAUGUUAAACUAUCUUUGCAUUUCUAAAAUAUAUCCAACUGGUCAUGACGUAUUACUUUUUCUUAAUUUCUUGCACAAAUUAACAUAUUACUCUUAAUAUAUACCAGAUUUUAAAGUGUGCUAAUAUGUUUAGAAUAUUUGCGCCUAUACUUAAAAGAGGGAUUGGUCUAAAAUUUUCCUUUCUUACAAUGUUCCUGUCAGAUGUUGUUAUCGGGGUUAUAAUAGCUUCCUAAAAUGAGUGAGAAAGGAGUCCUUAUUAUCCACUGGAAGGAUUUGUCUAUUUGUAUUAUUUCUUCCACAGAUGUUUAAAAAUUUUUUGCCAGAGAAACCAUCUAGACCUGCUUGAAGUUUUCCUUGUUAAAUGGUUUUAAAUUAGAUUCAAUUUUCUUAAUAGAUAAAGGACUCUAUAUUUUUACUUUUUUCUUGUAUCAGAUUUAUGAUGUGUUUUUUAAAGGAAUUUGUUCAUUUUAUCUAAAUUUACUGUCAUAAAGUUGUUCAUAAUAUCCUCUUAUUAUGUUUUUUCAUGUUCAUUUGACCUAUAGUGAUGCCCUUUUUAAAUUCUUGAUCCUGAUCAUUUUAGGCCUUCUCUGUUUUUCCUGAUCAAUUGCUAAGGAUCAAAAAUGAGUAAAAAUGUUAUUCAUCUUUUCAACAAGCUUUGGGCUUUGUGAGCCUUUCCUUCAUAUAUUUGUUUUCAAUUUCAUUAUUUGUUACUCCUAACAUUAUUAUUUCCUUCUUUUUAUUUUGUGUUUAAUUUGCUGUACUUUCUCAAAUUUAUGAAAACAGAUGCUUAGAUCUGAUUUCUACUUUUUAUUAUUUUCUUAAUAUAUGUAUUUAAAGCUGUAUAUUUCCUUCUAAGCACAGCUUUAGUUAUCUCUAAUAAGACUUUUC
rnacentral:lncRNA from 1 species